AUACUUACCCAGCAGGGGAGAUACCAUGAUCACAAAGGUGGUUUUCCCAGGGCAAGGCUCAUCCAUUGCACUCCAGGUGUGCUGACCCCUGCCAUUUCCCCAAACGUGGGGAACUCGGCUGCAUAAUUUGUAGUAGGGAGAAACUACGUUCAUGCUUCCUCCUG